UCGAGCGAAGUUGCUUUAGGACUGAUCCCUUCGGGGGUGACGACCUAAGCAUCUUAGCGGCGGAUGGGUGAGUAACGCGUGAGAAACCUGCCUUUCACAAAGGAAUAGCCUUGGGAAACUGGGAUUAAUACCUUAUGAUACUUUCUUACCACAUGGUAUAGAAGUUAAAGCGUAAAGCGGUGAAAGAUGGUCUCGCGUCCCAUUAGUUAGUUGGUGAGGUAAUGGCUCACCAAGACGACGAUGGGUAGCCGGCCUGAGAGGGUGAACGGCCACACUGGAACUGAGACACGGUCCAGACUCCUGCGGGAGGCAGCAGUGGGGAAUAUUGCACAAUGGAGGAAACUCUGAUGCAGCGACGCCGCGUGAACGAUGAAGGCUUUCGGGUCGUAAAGUUCUGUCCUUGGGGACGAUAAUGACGGUACCCAAGGAGGAAGCCCCGGCUAACUACGUGCCAGCAGCCGCGGUAAUACGUAGGGGGCAAGCGUUGUCCGGAUUUAUUGGGCGUAAAGGGUUCGCAGGUGGCCUUUUAAGUCAGAUGUGAAAGAUCACAGCUCAACUGUGGUAAGCAUUUGAAACUGAAAGGCUUGAGUUAAGGAGAGGAAAGUGGAAUUCCUAGUGUAGCGGUGAAAUGCGUAGAUAUUAGGAGGAAUACCAGUGGCGAAGGCGACUUUCUGGACUUAUACUGACACUGAGGAACGAAAGCAUGGGGAGCAAACAGGAUUAGAUACCCUGGUAGUCCAUGCCGUAAACGAUGAGUGCUAGGUGUCGGGGGUCAAACCUCGGUGCCGGAGCUAAC
rnacentral:rRNA from 1 species